UACGUAGGUGGCGAGCGUUGUCCGGAAUCAUUGGGCGUAAAGGGAGCGCAGGCGGGCAUGUAAGUCUUUCUUAAAAGUUCGGGGCUCAACCCCGUGAUGGGAAAGAAACUAUGUGUCUUGAGUACAGGAGAGGAAAGCGGAAUUCCCAGUGUAGCGGUGAAAUGCGUAGAUAUUGGGAGGAACACCAGUGGCGAAGGCGGCUUUCUGGACUGCAACUGACGCUGAGGCUCGAAAGCCAGGGGAGCGAACGGG
rnacentral:rRNA from 1 species